rnacentral:rRNA from 1 species
UCCUGACCGUGCUAAGGUAGCAUAAUCCCUUGCCUCUUAAUUAGUGGCUAGUAUGAAUGGAUAAACAAGAAUUAUACUGUCUCUAUAAGAAAUCUAAAAAUUAUUCCUCAAGUGAAGAAACUUGAAUUAAAAUAAAAGACAAGAAGACCCUGUAGAGCCUUAAUAUUAAAAUAACCCAAAAAUAAUCAUAAAUUAACUCUUAAACAAUAUUUUAGUUGGGGCGACUAAGGAAUGUACUAAAACCCUCCUUAUUCUUGAAGGCUUACAAGCCACUUAAUGAUCCAUUUCUAUGCUCAACGAACUAGGCUACCUCAGGGAUAACAGUCUAAUCUUCCUUAAGAGCCCAAAUUGACAGGAAGGAUUGGCACCUCGAUGUUGGCUUAGGAAAUCUCUAUGGUGCAGCCGCCGUAAGAGUAGGUUUGUUCAACCUUUAAUAUCCUACGUGAUC